AACAGAUUGGGAGGAGAAAGGAGCUUCCGUAACCCUUACCUUUCCUUCUCACUACCAUAACUUUUCUAUCUGGGCUCCGAUCGUCGCACCGUUCGCGGCCACGCGCUCAGUGUGUCGAGCUCUACUUUUUUAUCCAAAAAAUUUCACAGUAAGCCUCCUAUUUGGUUCAGAAUCUCUAUCCCUCUUUCUUUGAUAAACUUGAAAACCUAUGGUGAAUAUGUCCAAUUUUUGUAUUCUAAGUUAAAGUUAGCUUCUGGAACUUGUGGGCUCAAACUAUUGAGCAUAUGGGUAUGGUGUAGGUUAAGUGGGUGUUCAUGCAUUGGAAUUGAAUUGGGAUUACUUGGAGGUUUGUUGGUGACCAAGGCUUGUUUUGGGGCUGUUUGAUUGAGCUUGGAGGGGCUGUAAUUUUGAGUUGUGAGACUGCCUUUGGUGAACUAAGUGAUCGGCCAAGAUGCAGGUUGAGAGGCUCCUCGCUAGGCGUCUGGAUCUUCAAGCGGAGUAGUCCCUGGGAUGUUUUGGUUUAUCAGUUUAUGUAUUUAUGUACUUAGUUACUUAGCUUGCUCUCCAAGAAACUUGUUAUUUUGUUCCUCAUAGAGGUUACAGGAGAGUUAGGACUUUACUUCAAUAUUUUGGG